GUGAAUCAUCAAAUUUUUGAACGCAAAUUGCACUCCCUGGCAUCCCGGGAAGUAUGCCUGUUUGAGGGUAAGUAUUAAUAAUAAAUCGGCUUAUUUACAAAUUGUGACGUUUCCGGAGUUUGGGCUAUAUUAACAUUUUUUGUUAUAAGGCUUAAAAUUUACCUUUUUUGCGCACGUUUAAACUUACAUAUAUUUUUUUUAUUCGUUUAUUCAUAAUGCCAAAUUCAUAUUAGAUACUAUCACUUCGUGUGGC
rnacentral:misc_RNA from 1 species